AAACCAACAAAGAAUAGGUGCACCUAUCAAAGCCCAUUGUAUUUUUCAAAUUAAUUCCCUACAAUCCCUUUGCUUAUGACCCCAAAAGUAUUUCAACAACAUAUAUAAGUUAAUAUCAAAGUAGAUACAUUAACAGGUCAUCUUAUUGACGUCAAUUUGAUAUCAGCAAAUGUAUAAAUCACAUUUUAGACUCAUGACAAAAUCAACCCACAUAAUGAUGACAUACCAAUAUUUACAAGCACGAAACUAUGCAAACAAAGUAAAAGAAAUAAGAAACGAACCUUCUUUGAAAAAAUUCUUUUCAGACAAACAAGUUGAAUUAAUGUGGAAUCUCCCAGCAACAGAAAAACUCAACAAUCAGAGGAAAGCAACGAUGGGAAAAGACCCAAUGACUGGUACACAGGACCACGACGGAGAUCCAAACAAAGAAGUUCGACGCCGACCCCGAACUCAGCUUUUGGAGGUGCUGCUUUUUGCUAUUUUUAGCUGGAUUUCGGUUGAUGUUUUGGAGGUUGUUCGGCUGAAUUUUUGGUGGUGAAGGAAGCUGCUAUACUGUUGGUUUUAAUGGAGUUCGGUAGUGGCGUCGCCGGUGUUAGCCCGCCAGCAAGAUCUGAAAGCUCCCAUCGUCAUCAACAUCUCCAGCGAAGUCGACACGACGGGCAUCUCUAAUGAAGAGCUUCUGCCAUCACCGUCUGAAGGAGAGAGAGAGAGAGAGAGAUUUGAGUAGUAAGGGAGCUUUUUAUAGAAAUGGAGUUACGUUCUUUUGCAAAUCAGAUCCCUUCUGGGAGGGAAAACAUUUGCCUUAUUUUGUUUGUUUUUUUAUGUGUGUUGAUCGAAGAAGAAGAGUGAAUGGUGAGAGAGGUUCUAGGACUCUAGAUUUCUUUUUGGUGGUGUUUUUCAUUUUUGAAGAAGAAUGGGCAACUGUUGUGGGGUCUGCGACAGAUUUCAUGGAGAUGGGUUUUAGGUACUAUUAUAUAGAGUGAGAAUUAGGUUAGUGGUACGAGCCUAGAAAUUACGUGUUUAGAAAUUAUACGUUAGAUCCAAAAAUUAGGCUUAAAAUGAGUUGUUUGAAUUCGAAUUUAUUUUUUCCCU
rnacentral:lncRNA from 1 species